AUGUGCUUUGGCAGCUUGGGGAUAUGGUGCUUUGUGAGAGCUCUUGGCACUAUAUGCCAAUGCCAGAGCUGCCAUAGCUCAGGGUGGACUGAGUCAUAAAUUUACAAUCUACAUACUCGCUUAAGGUCAGGUCGUUUACACCUCCACAG